rnacentral:rRNA from 1 species
CCUUCGGGUCUAGUGGCGCACGGGUGCGUAACGCGUGGGAAUCUGCCCUUGGGUCUGGAAUAACAGUUAGAAAUGACUGCUAAUACCGGAUGAUGACUUCGGUCCAAAGAUUUAUCGCCCAGGGAUGAGCCCGCGUCGGAUUAGCUAGUUGGUGAGGUAAAAGCUCACCAAGGCGACGAUCCGUAGCUGGUCUGAGAGGAUGAUCAGCCACACUGGGACUGAGACACGGCCCAGACUCCUACGGGAGGCAGCAGUGGGGAAUAUUGGACAAUGGGCGAAAGCCUGAUCCAGCAAUGCCGCGUGGGUGAUGAAGGCCUUAGGGUUGUAAAGCUCUUUUACCCGGGAUGAUAAUGACAGUACCGGGAGAAUAAGCCCCGGCUAACUCCGUGC